ACAAAAUGAUGAGAUUCCACUUAAUUGGUCCGUGUUUUUGAAACACAUGAUAUUUGUGGAUAAAUGACGAGUUGAUGGGUGCUGAUGAG
ensembl:snoRNA SNORD18 Small nucleolar RNA SNORD18